rnacentral:rRNA from 1 species
UUAUAGCUUGCUAUGAUAAAAAUUAGUGGCAGACGGGUGAGUAAUGCAUAGGAAUCUACCUAGUAGUAUGGGAUAGCCACUAGAAAUGGUGGGUAAUACUGUAUAAUCCCUGCGGGGGAAAGAUUUAUCGCUAUUAGAUGAGCCUAUGUUAGAUUAGCUAGUUGGUAGGGUAAAGGCCUACCAAGGCAGUGAUCUAUAGCUGGUCUGAGAGGAUGAUCAGCCACACUGGAACUGAGAUACGGUCCAGACUCCUACGGGAGGCAGCAGUGGGGAAUAUUGGACAAUGGGCGCAAGCCUGAUCCAGCUAUGCCGCGUGAGUGAGGAAGGCCUUAGGGUUGUAAAACUCUUUCAGUGGGGAAGAUAAUGACGGUACCCACAGAAGAAGU